rnacentral:rRNA from 1 species
UACAGAGGUCCCAAGCGUUGUUCGGAUUCAUUGGGCGUAAAGGGUGCGUAGGCGGCGCGGUAAGUCGGGUGUGAAAUCUCGGAGCUUAACUCCGAAACUGUAUUCGAUACUGCCGUGCUUGAGGACUGGAGAGGAGACUGGAAUUUACGGUGUAGCGGUGAAAUGCGUAGAUAUCGUAAGGAAGACCAGUGGCGAAGGCGGGUCUCUGGACAGUUCCUGACGCUGAGACGCGAAAGCGUGGGGAGCGAACAGG